GGGACACGUGGUAUCCUGUCUGAAUAUGGGGGGACCAUCCUCCAAGGCUAAAUACUCCUGACUGACCGAUAGUGAACCAGUACCGUGAGGGAAAGGCGAAAAGAACCCCGGCGAGGGGAGUGAAAAAGAACCUGAAACCGUGUACGUACAAGCAGUGGGAGCACGCUUAGGCGUGUGACUGCGUACCUUUUGUAUAAUGGGUCAGCGACUUAUAUUCUGUAGCAAGGUUAACCGAAUAGGGGAGCCGAAGGGAAACCGAGUCUUAACUGGGCGUUAAGUUGCAGGGUAUAGACCCGAAACCCGGUGAUCUAGCCAUGGGCAGGUUGAAGGUUGGGUAACACUAACUGGAGGACCGAACCGACUAAUGUUGAAAAAUUAGCGGAUGACUUGUGGCUGGGGGUGAAAGGCCAAUCAAACCGGGAGAUAGCUGGUUCUCCCCGAAAGCUAUUUAGGUAGCGCCUCGUGAAUUCAUCUCCGGGGGUAGAGCACUGUUUCGGCAAGGGGGUCAUCCCGACUUACCAACCCGAUGCAAACUGCGAAUACCGGAGAAUGUUAUCACGGGAGACACACGGCGGGUGCUAACGUCCGUCGUGAAGAGGGAAACAACCCAGACCGCCAGCUAAGGUCCCAAAGUCAUGGUUAAGUGGGAAACGAUGUGGGAAGGCCCAGACAGCCAGGAUGUUGGCUUAGAAGCAGCCAUCAUUUAAAGAAAGCGUAAUAGCUCACUGGUCGAGUCGGCCUGCGCGGAAGAUGUAACGGGGCUAAACCAUGCACCGAAGCUGCGGCAGCGACGCUUAUGCGUUGUUGGGUAGGGGAGCGUUCUGUAAGCCUGUGAAGGUGUGCUGUGAGGCAUGCUGGAGGUAUCAGAAGUGCGAAUGCUGACAUAAGUAACGAUAAAGCGGGUGAAAAGCCCGCUCGCCGGAAGACCAAGGGUUCCUGUCCAACGUUAAUCGGGGCAGGGUGAGUCGACCCCUAAGGCGAGGCCGAAAGGCGUAGUCGAUGGGAAACAGGUUAAUAUUCCUGUACUUGGUGUUACUGCGAAGGGGGGACGGAGAAGGCUAUGUUGGCCGGGCGACGGUUGUCCCGGUUUAAGCGUGUAGGCUGGUUUUCCAGGCAAAUCCGGAAAAUCAAGGCUGAGGCGUGAUGACGAGGCACUACGGUGCUGAAGCAACAAAUGCCCUGCUUCCAGGAAAAGCCUCUAAGCAUCAGGUAACAUCAAAUCGUACCCCAAACCGACACAGGUGGUCAGGUAGAGAAUACCAAGGCGCUUGAGAGAACUCGGGUGAAGGAACUAGGCAAAAUGGUGCCGUAACUUCGGGAGAAGGCACGCUGAUAUGUAGGUGAAGCGACUUGCUCGUGGAGCUGAAAUCAGUCGAAGAUACCAGCUGGCUGCAACUGUUUAUUAAAAACACAGCACUGUGCAAACACGAAAGUGGACGUAUACGGUGUGACGCCUGCCCGGUGCCGGAAGGUUAAUUGAUGGGGUCAGCGCAAGCGAAGCUCUUGAUCGAAGCCCCGGUAAACGGCGGCCGUAACUAUAACGGUCCUAAGGUAGCGAAAUUCCUUGUCGGGUAAGUUCCGACCUGCACGAAUGGCGUAAUGAUGGCCAGGCUGUCUCCACCCGAGACUCAGUGAAAUUGAACUCGCUGUGAAGAUGCAGUGUACCCGCGGCAAGACGGAAAGACCCCGUGAACCUUUACUAUAGCUUGACACUGAACAUUGAGCCUUGAUGUGUAGGAUAGGUGGGAGGCUUAGAAGUGUGGACGCCAGUCUGCAUGGAGCCGACCUUGAAAUACCACCCUUUAAUGUUUGAUGUUCUAACGUGGACCCGUAAUCCGGGUUGCGGACAGUGUCUGGUGGGUAGUUUGACUGGGGCGGUCUCCUCCUAAAGAGUAACGGAGGAGCACGAAGGUUGGCUAAUCCUGGUCGGACAUCAGGAGGUUAGUGCAAUGGCAUAAGCCAGCUUGACUGCGAGCGUGACGGCGCGAGCAGGUGCGAAAGCAGGUCAUAGUGAUCCGGUGGUUCUGAAUGGAAGGGCCAUCGCUCAACGGAUAAAAGGUACUCCGGGGAUAACAGGCUGAUACCGCCCAAGAGUUCAUAUCGACGGCGGUGUUUGGCACCUCGAUGUCGGCUCAUCACAUCCUGGGGCUGAAGUAGGUCCCAAGGGUAUGGCUGUUCGCCAUUUAAAGUGGUACGCGAGCUGGGUUUAGAACGUCGUGAGACAGUUCGGUCCCUAUCUGCCGUGGGCGCUGGAGAACUGAGGGGGGCUGCUCCUAGUACGAGAGGACCGGAGUGGACGCAUCACUGGUGUUCGGGUUGUCAUGCCAAUGGCACUGCCCGGUAGCUAAAUGCGGAAGAGAUAAGUGCUGAAAGCAUCUAAGCACGAAACUUGCC
rnacentral:rRNA from 1 species